GGGUUGCCAUUUCCUCCUCCAGGGGAUCUUCCCAACCCAGGGAUUGAAACUGCAUCUCCUGCACUGGCAGGCAGGUUCUUUACCACUGAGCCACCAGGGAAGCCUGAGCCUACUUGGAGACAGCUUGUUAAAUCAGUAAAUUGGUGUCAAGUGAAACCAUGAAUAAGGGAUAAGAGUUUUCAGAGUCAAUGUGGGUUCUAAAUGAAGGGCAUGUGGAAUUAACGGCAGGGCUGACAGCACUUAGGGAUGUCCUGUGUAGGCCAAGAGCCUCCCUGUUUGCUUCGUGGGGACUGGAUCCACCAGGCAGAGCCCAUUAGCGCCGACUGAGCACACAGCGGUGCUGAGGGACCACGCUCACUCUGUCUCUCUGGAUCCCUCUCACAGACAUCCAAAGCCCAGGAGAACGGAUCCUCUCUUUCAGUCUCGGAGGGCCAGUCCCUGCGCCUGGUCUGCGUCGUUGACAGCAACCCCCCCGCCAGGAUCAGCUGGGCCCGGGGGAGCCUGACCCUCAGCGCCUCGCCGCCCAGCCACCCAGAGAUGCUGGAGCUGCCGCGGGUGCUCACAGGAGACGAAGGGGAGUUCACCUGCCGAGCUCAGCACGCCCUCGGCUCCCAGCACGUCUCCCUGAGGCUCUCGCUGCAGAGGCGGUCAGCGCGCCCGGCAGAGGCGGUCCUGGUAGCCAUCUGGGAAGUGGCUGUCAAGACCCUGCUCCUCCUCCUCUUUCUCCUGGGCCUCCUAGUGAGGUGCUGCACAAGGACUUCAGCCAGGCCAGCAGGGGGCGUGUCAGAGGCAAAGGAAACCCCACCUUUAACCCCUCAGCUCAUCUUGAAGCCCAUCUCCUCCCGGUCCUGACCCUGGUCCUUCCAGCAGCCUCAUCUCUUCCCUGAGUCGCUGAACCCAUGCAUCUCCUGCUUCCUCUCGCUGGGAAGCACGGCCCUCGGGUCAGAGGACUCACCAGAGACGGUUCCGUCCACUGCCCGCACAGUCGGAGCAGCUCUGUUUCCUCCCCACGCAGGGGAUGGAGCGGCCCACACCACAGGCUGGAUUCUAAGUCCUGGCGGGCUCUGCCCUGCUGACUCUCCACCCAGAGUUUCUGUCUGGGAUGAUGAAAGCAUUCUGGAAAUGGACAGUGGUGAUGGUUUCACUAACAUGGUGAUGUACUUACUGCCACUCAGGUGUAACACAUGGUUAUUUAGUUGCUGAGUCAUGUCCAUUUUCUUCAACGCCAUGGAUUGUAGCCCGCCAGGCUCCUCAGCCCAUGGGUUUUCCCCAGCCAAGAAUGCUGCAGUGGGUUGCCAUGUCCUUCUCCAGGGGAUCGUCCCCACCCAGAAACUGAACCUGAGUUUCCUGCUUGGCAGGCAGAUUCUUUACCAUUGAGCUACCUGGGAAGCCCUAAAGUGUACUGUAUACAAUGUUAAAAAUAAUUUUUAUUUUAUGAGUAUUUUACUGAAAUAAAGCAAAAGGAAUGAGGA
ensembl:lncRNA